AGUGGCGGACGGGUGAGUAACGCGUAAGAAUCUAACUUCAGGACGGGGACAACAGUGGGAAACGACUGCUAAUACCCGAUGUGCCGCGAGGUGAAACCUAAUUGGCCUGAAGAAGAGCUUGCGUCUGAUUAGCUAGUUGGUGGGGUAAGAGCCUACCAAGGCGACGAUCAGUAGCUGGUCUGAGAGGAUGAGCAGCCACACUGGGACUGAGACACGGCCCAGACUCCUACGGGAGGCAGCAGUGGGGAAUUUUCCGCAAUGGGCGAAAGCCUGACGGAGCAACGCCGCGUGAGGGAGGAAGGUCUUUGGAUUGUAAACCUCUUUUCUCAAGGAAGAAGUUCUGACGGUACUUGAGGAAUCAGCCUCGGCUAACUCCGUGCCAGCAGCCGCGGUAAUACGGGGGAGGCAAGCGUUAUCCGGAAUUAUUGGGCGUAAAGCGUCCGCAGGUGGUCAGCCAAGUCUGCCGUCAAAUCAGGUUGCUUAACGACCUAAAGGCGGUGGAAACUGGCAGACUAGGGAGCAGUAGGGGUAGCAGGAAUUCCCAGUGUAGCGGUGAAAUGCGUAGAGAUUGGGAAGAACAUCGGUGGCGAAAGCGUGCUACUGGGCUGUAUCUGACACUCAGGGACGAAAGCUAGGGGAGCGAAAGGGAUUAGAUACCCCUGUAGUCCUAGCCGUAAACGAUGGAUACUAGGCGUGGCUU
rnacentral:rRNA from 1 species